rnacentral:rRNA from 1 species
AUUGAACGCUGUCGGCAGGCCUAACACAUGCAAGUCGAGCGGCAGCGGAAAGUAGCUUGCUACUUUGCCGGCGAGCGGCGGACGGGUGAGUAAUGUCUGGGAAACUGCCUGAUGGAGGGGGAUAACUACUGGAAACGGUAGCUAAUACCGCAUAAUGUCGCAAGACCAAAGAGGGGGACCUUCGGGCCUCUUGCCAUCAGAUGUGCCCAGAUGGGAUUAGCUAGUAGGUGGGGUAACGGCUCACCUAGGCGACGAUCCCUAGCUGGUCUGAGAGGAUGACCAGCCACACUGGAACUGAGACACGGUCCAGACUCCUACGGGAGGCAGCAGUGGGGAAUAUUGCACAAUGGGCGCAAGCCUGAUGCAGCCAUGCCGCGUGUAUGAAGAAGGCCUUCGGGUUGUAAAGUACUUUCAGCGGGGAGGAAGGUGCUGAGGUUAAUAACCUCAGCAAUUGACGUUACCCGCAGAAGAAGCACCGGCUAACUCCGUGCCAGCCGCCGCAGUAA